AGGUUAAGUUAAUAAGGGCGCACGGUGGAUGCCUUGGCACUAGAAGCCGAUGAAGGACGUGACUAACGACGAAAUGCUUUGGGGAGCUGUAAGUGAGCAAUGAUCCAGAGAUGUCCGAAUGGGGGAACCCGGCAGGUAAUGCCUGUCACUCAUUACUGUUAAGGUAAUGUAGAGGAAGACGCAGUGAACUGAAACAUCUAAGUAGCUGUAGGAAGAGAAAGCAAAAGCGAUUGCCUUAGUAGCGGCGAGCGAAACGGCAAGAGGGCAAACCGAAGAGUUUACUCUUCGGGGUUGUAGGACUGCAACGUGGACUUAAAGAUUAUAGAAGAACUACCUGGGAAGGUAGGCCAAAGAGAGUAAUAGCCUCGUAUUCGAAAUAGUCUUUAUACCUAGCAGUAUCCUGAGUACGGCGAGACACGAGAAAUCUCGUCGGAAUCUGGGAGGACCAUCUCCCAACCCUAAAUACUCUCUAGUGACCGAUAGUGAACCAGUACCGUGAGGGAAAGGUGAAAAGCACCCCGGGAGGGGAGUGAAAUAGAACCUGAAACCGUGUGCCUACAACAAGUUCGAGCCCGUUAAUGGGUGAGAGCGUGCCUUUUGUAGAAUGAACCGGCGAGUUACGAUAUGAUGCGAGGUUAAGUUGAAGAGACGGAGCCGUAGGGAAACCGAGUCUUAAUAGGGCGCAUUAGUAUCAUGUCGUAGACCCGAAACCAUGUGACCUACCCAUGAGCAGGUUGAAGGUGAGGUAAAACUCACUGGAGGACCGAACCAGGGCACGUUGAAAAGUGCUUGGAUGACUUGUGGGUAGCGGAGAAAUUCCAAACGAACUUGGAGAUAGCUGGUUCUCUCCGAAAUAGCUUUAGGGCUAGCGUCGAUGUUAAGUCUCUUGGAGGUAGAGCACUGUUUGGGUGAGGGGUCCAUCCCGGAUUACCAAUCUCAGAUAAACUCCGAAUGCCAAUGAGAUAUAAUCGGCAGUCAGACUGCGAGUGCUAAGAUCCGUAGUCGAAAGGGAAACAGCCCAGACCACCAGCUAAGGUCCCAAAAUAUAUGUUAAGUGGAAAAGGAUGUGGGGUUGCACAGACAACUAGGAUGUUAGCUUAGAAGCAGCUAUUCAUUCAAAGAGUGCGUAAUAGCUCACUAGUCGAGUGACCCUGCGCCGAAAAUGUACCGGGGCUAAAACAUAUUACCGAAGCUGUGGAUACCUUUAUAGGUAUGGUAGGAGAGCGUUCUAUGUGCGAAGAAGGUGUACCGUGAGGAGUGCUGGAGCGCAUAGAAGUGAGAAUGCCGGUAUGAGUAGCGAAAGACAGGUGAGAAUCCUGUCCACCGUAAGACUAAGGUUUCCAGGGGAAGGCUCGUCCGCCCUGGGUUAGUCGGGACCUAAGGAGAGACCGAAAGGUGUAUCCGAUGGACAACAGGUUGAUAUUCCUGUACUAGAGUAUAUAGUGAUGGAGGGACGCAGUAGGCUAACUAAACCAGACGAUUGGAAGUGUCUGGCCAAGCAGUGAGGUGUGAUAUGAGUCAAAUGCUUAUAUCUUUAACAUUGAGCUGUGAUGGGGAGCGAAGUUUAGUAGCGAAGUUAGUGAUGUCACACUGCCGAGAAAAGCUUCUAGCGUUAAUUAUACUCUACCCGUACCGCAAACCGACACAGGUAGUCGAGGCGAGUAGCCUCAGGUGAGCGAGAGAACUCUCGUUAAGGAACUCGGCAAAAUGGCCCCGUAACUUCGGGAGAAGGGGCGCUGACUGAUGGUCAGCCGCAGUGAAUAGGCCCAAGCAACUGUUUAUCAAAAACACAGCUCUCUGCUAAAUCGUAAGAUGAUGUAUAGGGGGUGACGCCUGCCCGGUGCUGGAAGGUUAAGAGGAGUGCUUAGCGUAAGCGAAGGCAUGAAUUGAAGCCCCAGUAAACGGCGGCCGUAACUAUAACGGUCCUAAGGUAGCGAAAUUCCUUGUCGGGUAAGUUCCGACCCGCACGAAAGGCGUAAUGAUUUGGGCACUGUCUCAACGAGAGACUCGGUGAAAUUUUAGUACCUGUGAAGAUGCAGGUUACCCGCGACAGGACGGAAAGACCCCAUGGAGCUUUACUGCAGUUUGAUAUUGAGUAUCUGUACCACAUGUACAGGAUAGGUAGGAGCCUAUGACCUCGGGACGCCAGUUUCGAGUGAGGCGUUGUUGGGAUACUACCCUUGUGUUAUGGCUACUCUAACCCAGAUAGGUUAUCCCUAUCGGAGACAGUGUCUGACGGGCAGUUUGACUGGGGCGGUCGCCUCCUAAAAGGUAACGGAGGCGCCCAAAGGUUCCCUCAGAAUGGUUGGAAAUCAUUCGCAGAGUGUAAAGGUAUAAGGGAGCUUGACUGCGAGAGCUACAACUCGAGCAGGGACGAAAGUCGGGCUUAGUGAUCCGGUGGUUCCGUAUGGAAGGGCCAUCGCUCAACGGAUAAAAGCUACCCUGGGGAUAACAGGCUUAUCUCCCCCAAGAGUUCACAUCGACGGGGAGGUUUGGCACCUCGAUGUCGGCUCGUCGCAUCCUGGGGCUGUAGUCGGUCCCAAGGGUUGGGCUGUUCGCCCAUUAAAGCGGCACGCGAGCUGGGUUCAGAACGUCGUGAGACAGUUCGGUCCCUAUCCGUCGCGGGCGUAGGAAAUUUGAGAGGAUCUGCUCCUAGUACGAGAGGACCAGAGUGGACUUACCGCUGGUGUACCAGUUGUUCUGCCAAGAGCAUCGCUGGGUAGCUAUGUAGGGAAGGGAUAAACGCUGAAAGCAUCUAAGUGUGAAGCCCACCUCAAGAUGAGAUUUCCCAUGAUUUUAUAUCAGUAAGAGCCCUGAGAGAUGAUCAGGUUGAUAGGUUAGAAGUGGAAGUGUGGUGACACAUGUAGCGGACUAAUACUAAUAGCUCGAGGACUUAUCCAA
rnacentral:rRNA from 1 species